UUUGACGUCUUCAACACAAGGAGCACAAGGAGGCCUCGGCUCAAAGGCUGCCAUCAACACUGACAAUCUGCACCAAACUGAUGCAUUCCUGACAGAAGCAUGGAAGUACCUGCUCAACUUAAAACACGGGGGACGAGACUCUAUACGCCAGGAAAAGGACACACUGCAGUCACCGAAUGGGUGGUCAACAGAUUCCCUCAUCAGGAUCCUCCCUGCUCUCCUGCAACUACAGAAGAGGCUGGAAAUACAACCCGAACACAGGGCAGUUCCAGGCUGCAUUCUGCCGCCUUCUCGCAAGGUGUGGGGUGAAGGCAAGGAUAACAGGCAAUGUGGUCGGCCAUGACUCCACCCGUGUGGCCUCCGAUAGAGCAAUGACACCAG